rnacentral:rRNA from 1 species
GAUUUCUGGCACGAUGUACCUGUCCCGCUGCGGUUAACGCAUGUGAGUGACGGUGUAUGUUUGCCAUCCUUCUAGAGAGCAUAAGCUAUCCUUCACUGGACCGGUUUAUGUCAUCUAGAUCUUUUACUUUGAACAAAUUAGAGUGUUUCAAGCAGGCGUUUACUGGCUAUGAAUACAUUAGCAUGGAAUAAUGAGUUAGGACUUCGGUUCUAUUUUGUUGGUUUCUAGGACUGAAGUAAUGAUUGAUAGGGAUAGUUGGGGGUGCUAGUAUUCAGCGGCCAGAGGUGAAAUUCUCGGAUUCGCUGAAGACUAACUUAUGCGAAAGCAUU